UACGUAGGGAGCAAGCGUUGUCCGGAUUCACUGGGUGUAAAGGGUGCGCAGGCGGAUUCGUAAGUCAGGGGUGAAAUCUCACAGCUUAACUGUGAAACUGCCCUUGAUACUGCAGAUCUUGAGUUCGGGAGAGGUUGAUGGAAUUCCAGGUGUAGCGGUGAAAUGCGUAGAUAUCUGGAAGAACACCAGUGGCGAAGGCGGUCAACUGGCCCGUAACUGACGCUCAGGCACGAAAGCGUGGGUAGCGAACAGG
rnacentral:rRNA from 2 species